UAGUCAUAUGCUUGUCUCAAAGAUUAAGCCAUGCAUGUCUAAGCACAAGCCGAUUAAUGGUGAAGCCGCGAAUGGCUCAUUACAACAGCCAUAGUUUCUUAGAUCUUACUUUUCUACUUGGAUAGCUGUGGUAAUUCUAGAGCUAAUACACGCAAACAAGCUCAGACCUUACGGAAUGAGCGCAUUUAUUAGAACAAAAACCAAUCGGGCUUCGGUCCGUCAUUUGGUGAAUCUGAAUAACUUUGCUGAUCGCACGGUCUUCGUACCGGCGACAUAUCUUUCAAAUGUCUGCCUUAUCAACUUUCGAUGGUAGUUUAUGCGCCUACCAUGGUUGUAACGGGUAACGGAGAAUAAGGGUUCGACUCCGGAGAGGGAGCCUGAGAAACGGCUACCACAUCCAAGGAAGGCAGCAGGCACGCAAAUUACCCACUCCCGGCACGGGGAGGUAGUGACGAAAAAUAACGAGACGGCUCGCUAUGCGGUCCGUCAUCGGAAUGGGUACAAUUUAAAUCCUUUAACGAGGAUCUAUU
rnacentral:rRNA from 1 species